GUGGGGAAUAUUGCACAAUGGGGGAAACCCUGAUGCAGCGACGCCGCGUGAGUGAAGAAGUAUUUCGGUAUGUAAAGCUCUAUCAGCAGGGAAGAAAGUGACGGUACCUGAAUAAGAAGCCCCGGCUAACUACGUGCCAGCAGCCGCGGUAAUACGUAGGGGGCAAGCGUUAUCCGGAUUUACUGGGUGUAAAGGGAGCGUAGACGGCAAGGCAAGUCUGAAGUGAAAGCCCGGUGCUUAACGCCGGGACUGCUUUGGAAACUGUUUGGCUGGAGUGCCGGAGAGGUAAGCGGAAUUCCUAGUGUAGCGGUGAAAUGCGUAGAUAUUAGGAAGAACACCAGUGGCGAAGGCGGCUUACUGGACGGUAACUGACGUUGAGGCUCGAAAGCGUGGGGAGCAAACAGGAUUAGAAACCCCAGUAGUCC
rnacentral:rRNA from 1 species